rnacentral:rRNA from 1 species
UACAGAGGUGGCAAGCGUUGUUCGGAAUUACUGGGCGUAGAGGGCGCGUAGGCGGCCUUCUAAGUCAGACGUGAAAUCCCCCGGCUUAACCUGGGAACUGCGUCUGAUACUGGGAGGCUUGAGUAUGGGAGAGGGAUGUAGAAUUCCAGGUGUAGCGGUGAAAUGCGUAGAUAUCUGGAGGAACACCGGUGGCGAAGGCGGCAUCCUGGACCAACACUGACACUGAGGAGCGAAAGCCAGGGGAGCAAACGGG